UGUCCGAGCGUCAUUACAACCCUCAAGCUCAGCUUGGUAUUGGGCCCCGCCGCUUCGGCGGGCCCUAAAGUCAGUGGCGGUGCGUCCGGCUCCGAGCGUAGUAAUUCUUCUCGCUCUGGAGGUCCGGUCGUGUGCUCGCCAGCAACCCCCAAUUUUUUCAGGUUGACCUCGGAUCAGGUAGGGAUACCCGCUGAACUUAA
rnacentral:misc_RNA from 1 species